AGCGAACGCUGGCGGCAGGCCUAACACAUGCAAGUCGAACGAAGCCUUCGGGCUUAGUGGCGGACGGGUGAGUAACACGUGGGAACGUACCUUUUGGUUCGGAAUAACGCAGAGAAAUUUGCGCUAAUACCGAAUGAGCCCUUAGGGGGAAAGAUUUAUCGCCGAAAGAUCGGCCCGCGUUGGAUUAGGUAGUUGGUGUGGUAAAGGCGCACCAAGCCUACGAUCCAUAGCUGGUCUGAGAGGAUGAUCAGCCACACUGGGACUGAGACACGGCCCAGACUCCUACGGGAGGCAGCAGUGGGGAAUCUUGCGCAAUGGGCGAAAGCCUGACGCAGCCAUGCCGCGUGAAUGAUGAAGGUCUUAGGAUUGUAAAAUUCUUUUACCAGGGACGAUAAUGACGGUACCUGGAGAAAAAGCCCCGGCUAACUUCGUGCCAGCAGCCGCCGUAA
rnacentral:rRNA from 1 species